CUGCUUCUUCUCGAGCUCGUGACUCCGGCUUUGCUGGUCCUCCAGCUGGAGGCGGGUGUCCUCCAGGUCGCAGGUCAGAUGGUGGCACUUCCUCUUUAGCUGCUGCCAUUUCUGAGGGAGGAAGCUACUUCUCUGACCCCGUCUGCUCAAGAGGUGCCCCAUAGAGUCUUUACAAGCCCUGCCUCCAAAGGAAGACUGAGGGCUGUAUACCUAAUAACCCCAGCAGCCGGCAUCAUCCCAGAGCCCAUGUGGGGAUUAGCCAUGGAGCAGCCAAAAUGGCGGCCGUAGAAGAUCUGGCCAGGAGAUCUGACAGAUGGGCUCUGAAGGUUAGAGCAGUAAAUGGCCCUUCCGACGGGAUGAAUUACACGGGGAUACACAUGACCGUGAACAAACAGAAAAGCAAAGCCUCUUGCAUCUUUCUCGAGGAACCCCCCCCCCAAUGUCCUCGUUUGAAUCUGGGAGAGAGGACAACUCAGCACACUCGCUUUGAAGAAAUGGCCUCAUUAAAGAAUUUCUUUAAAUAA